rnacentral:rRNA from 1 species
UACGUAGGUGGCGAGCGUUAUCCGGAAUCAUUGGGCGUAAAGAGGGAGCAGGCGGCCGCAAGGGUCUGUGGUGAAAGACCGAAGCUAAACUUCGGUAAGCCAUGGAAACCGGGCGGCUAGAGUGCGGAAGAGGAUCGUGGAAUUCCAUGUGUAGCGGUGAAAUGCGUAGAUAUAUGGAGGAACAUCAGUGGCGAAGGCGACGGUCUGGGCCGCAACUGACGCUCAUUCCCGAAAGCGUGGGGAGCAAAUAGG